UUGGAGGAGGAAGAGUUUGUUCAGUUUUGUACCCAUAUCGAAAAGACGCUGGCCGAACUUUCCGGAUCGGAAUCUGGCUCAAACUGAAACGGCAGAACCGACGCCAUUGGAAAAAUAGCCACCGUGCUGUUCACAGCUGCUCAAGAAAGAAGGGUCUGUCUGCAGACUGCAAGGCAGAGGCGGAGCAUGUGGGGGCGGAACCACUCUGGGGGUUGACCAAUCAGAACAGAGUGGUAUACAGAUGUGGAUGAAACAGCAAUACCACCGGACGCCAUGAGUUAACCAACCAUGAAAUCUGGGGGUUGGCACCCCCAUUUCCCCCAGCUCUGGCUUACCCUGACCCUGUCCACUACCUGAUAACGAGAACAAACAGUGUCACUCAUGAGAAGCACCACUCUUAUGAAGCAUGAAAAAGCACUUUUUUUUUCUACCGGUGGGGAAAAAAAAACUUUAACAAGUCUCAAGUUUAUUUGAAACUGAAGUAAUACAUUUGUAGAACUUUUGAUCUGAAGACCACUGACAAAAAAAAUCCUCAAAAUUAAAGUUACACUAAUUCAUUCAGGGAA